rnacentral:rRNA from 1 species
CAGGUCGCGAGCGGUUCGCCGCCUGUGACGUCACGAGAAGUCCACUGAACCUUAUCAUUUAGAGGAAGGAGAAGUCGUAACAAGGUUUCCGUAGGUGAACCUGCGGAAGGAUCAUUG